UGUUUAAUGUACUGUAAGAUUUGUUGUUAGAAUAAAGUCAAUAAUGCCUUUUUUUGCGUUCCCCCUUUAUUUAGAAAAGUAUCGAAAAGUAUCAAAAUACAGGCUAGGCGCAGGCACGCUAAUAGCUAAUGCUAGGUUCACACCAACGGCGCUUUGAUGGCGCUUUAAAGCGGCAUGCAAAGCGGCGUUAAUGCGUAACAAAGCCUGAUUAAAGCGUGAGGGUCCUAAUGGAUCGAGGGAAAGCUUGUAGUGAAGCGGGACAUGCGGCAAGUUUGCCAAAAUUUUUUAAACGGUUUAAAAAAAUUAUGCGCUCUGUCAAGAAUGGUAUAAAGCGCCGAGAGCUUAUCAAAGCAUGAAAAAGCAUGACAAAGCUCAGCAAAACUUGACUAAAAGCGUAGGAAACCUCAGUGACUUUAUCGACACCCCGCCAUCACCACUGCAGGGAUAAACACCGUGCCAUCAUCUCCUGUGAAGCGUGAUUACAAGUUCAUUCUCAUUUGCAUCAUUGCCUUUUUUUAUACUUUUUUAUAUUGCUGUUUGAUGUUGCAGUUUGACAAUACUGUCUGUAAUUUUUCUUUCUGAAAAUGUUAAUAAUAAAGAGAAUAUGUUACGUUUAAAAGAAAUGCCUUUGAAUUUUUUCAACUAGCAUAAUAGAUAAAAGAUAGAUAUUUAUUAAGAUGACAAAAAUAAUAGAAAUGAAGAUAUAAAACAUAAUAUAAUGAAAAAAAAGAGAAAUUGAAAAAAGAAAUGAAUAUAAAAAAUGUGUGGAUACAUGCCUUUGAUUAUUUUCAACUAGCAUAAUAAAUAAAAGAUAGAUAUUUAUUAAGAUGACAAAAAUAAUAGAAAUGAAGAUAUAAAACAUAUAAUA